rnacentral:rRNA from 1 species
UACGGGGGGAGCAAGCGUUGUUCGGAUUUACUGGGCGUAAAGGGCGCGUAGGCGGCCUCUGCAAGUCGACUGUGAAAUCUCCGGGCUUAACCCGGAACGGUCAGCCGAUACUGCAGGGCUAGAGUGCAGAAGGGGCAACUGGAAUUCUCGGUGUAGCGGUGAAAUGCGUAGAUAUCGGGAGGAACACCAGUGGCGAAGGCGGCGACCUGGACAGAUAUUGACGCUGAGGUGCGAAAGCGUGGGGAGCAAACAGG